rnacentral:rRNA from 1 species
UACAGAGGGUGCAAGCGUUGUUCGGAUUCAUUGGGCGUAAAGGGUGCGUAGGCGGCGCGGUAAGUCGGGUGUGAAAUCUCGGAGCUUAACUCCGAAACUGCAUUCGAUACUGCCGUGCUUGAGGACUGGAGAGGUGAGUGGAACUCCGAGUGUAGCGGUGAAAUGCGUAGAUAUCGGGAGGAACACCAGUGGCGAAGGCGACUACCUGGCCUGUUCUUGACGCUGAGGCGCGAAAGCUAGGGGAGCAAACGGG